rnacentral:rRNA from 1 species
CGCGUAGGUGGCUUGUCAGGUCCGAUGUGAAAACCUGGGGCUCAACUCCAGGCCUGCAUCGGAAACCGGCUUGCUAGAGUCUGGGAGAGGAGAGUGGAAUUCCUGGUGUAGCGGUGAAAUGCGUAGAUAUCAGGAGGAACACCGGUAGCGAAGGCGGCUCUCUGGAACAGUACUGACGCUGAGGCGCGAAAGCUAGGGGAGCGAACAG